GACGAACGCUGGCGGCGUGCUUAACACAUGCAAGUCGAACGGUAAAGGGCCCAGCUUGCUGGUUCUUGAUGAGUGGCGCGCGUGUGAGUCACGCGUGAGUCCCCUGCCCCCUUCUUCUGUAUCACCGCAUAACAGUGUGGCUAAUCCGGGAUAUUCUCCGUCUGUCUCAUGGCGGUCCCGGUGAAGCUGUUGCUUCGGUUGGAGAUGCGCUCGCGGCCUAUCUGCUUGUUGGUGUGGUGAUGGCCUACCAUGGCGGUGACUGGUAGGCGGCCGGAGAGGGUGGAGGGUCACAGGGGGACUGAGCAAAGGGCCAGACUGCUACGGGAGGCAGUAGUGCGGAAGAUUGCACAAGGGGCGCAAGCCUGAUGCAGCGAAGCCGCGUGAGGGAUGGAGGCCUGCGGGUUGUAGGCCUCUGUCGCCAGUGAAGCAGGCGUGUUUGAUGUGGGUGGGGUGACGGUAGCUGGAUAAGAAGCGCCGGCUAACUACGUG
rnacentral:rRNA from 1 species